UACGUAGGUGGCAAGCGUUGUCCGGAUUUACUGGGUGUAAAGGGCGUGUAGCCGGGCUGACAAGUCAGAUGUGAAAUCCGGGGGCUCAACCCCCGAACUGCAUUUGAAACUGUUGGUCUUGAGUAUCGGAGAGGCAGGCGGAAUUCCUAGUGUAGCGGUGAAAUGCGUAGAUAUUAGGAGGAACACCAGUGGCGAAGGCGGCCUGCUGGACGACAACUGACGGUGAGGCGCGAAAGCGUGGGGAGCAAGCAGG
rnacentral:rRNA from 1 species